UACGUAGGGUACGAGCGUUAAUCGGAAUUACUGGGCGUAAAGCGUGCGCAGGCGGUUCGUUGUGUCUGCUGUGAAAGCCCCGGGCUCAACCUGGGAAUGGCAGUGGAAACUGGCGAGCUGGAGUGUGGCAGAGGGGGUGGAAUUCCGCGUGUAGCAGUGAAAUGCGUAGAGAUGCGGAGGAACACCGAUGGCGAAGGCAGGUCUCUGGGCCACUACUGACGCUGAGAAGCGAAAGCAUGGGGAGCGAACAGG
rnacentral:rRNA from 1 species